UGAGAUGGACCCUAAAAAGUCCUCUAAACA
rnacentral:tRNA from 1 species